UACGGGGGGGGCAAGCGUUGUUCGGAAUUACUGGGCGUAAAGGGCGCGUAGGCGGCCCCUUUUGUCGCGUGUGAAAGCCCCGGGCUCAACCUGGGAGGUGCGCGCGAAACGGGGGGGCUUGAGUUCGGGAGAGGAGCGUGGAAUUCCCAGUGUAGAGGUGAAAUUCGUAGAUAUUGGGAAGAACACCGGUGGCGAAGGCGGCGCUCUGGACCGAGACUGACGCUGAGGCGCGAAAGCGUGGGGAGCAAACAGG
rnacentral:rRNA from 1 species